GUGCUGGAUGAAAGGAGAGACGAUCAGCACUCCCUUUGGAAAGGAUGGAAGAUGUAAAAAAAUGCAGACACUGCCACCUACUUUGUGGCAUCUAACCAAC